ACGGAGGAUCCGAGCGUUAUCCGGAUUUAUUGGGUUUAAAGGGUGCGCAGGCGGACUGGUAAGUCAGGGGUGAAAAUCUACGGCUCAACUGUAGACGUGCCUUUGAUACUGCCGGACUUGAGUUAAGAUGGAGAGAGCGGAAUGUGUUGUGGAGCGGUGAAAUGCUUAGAUAUAGCGCAGAACACCGAACGCGUAGGCAGUUCUCUAGGCUUUGCCUGACGCUGAUGCACGAAAGCGUGGGGAUCAAACGG
rnacentral:rRNA from 1 species